GUGCCAGCAGCCGCGGUAACACGUAGGGGGCAAGCGUUGUCCGGAUUCAUUGGGCGUAAAGAGCUCGUAGGCGGCUCAGCAAGUCAGGUGUGAAACCUCCGGGCUCAACCCGGAGACGCCACCUGAUACUGCUGUGGCUAGAGUCCAGUAGGGGAGCGUGGAAUUCCCAGUGUAGCGGUGAAAUGCGCAGAUAUUGGGAGGAACACCAGUGGCGAAGGCGGCGCUCUGGGCUGGAACUGACGCUGAGGAGCGAAAGCGUGGGGAGCGAACAGGAUUAGAUACCCCCGUAGUCC
rnacentral:rRNA from 1 species